ACGAACGCUGGCGGCGUGCCUAAUACAUGCAAGUCGAACGCUUCUUUUUCCACCGGAGCUUGCUCCACCGGAAAAAGAGGAGUGGCGAACGGGUGAGUAACACGUGGGUAACCUGCCCAUCAGAAGGGGAUAACACUUGGAAACAGGUGCUAAUACCGUAUAACAAUCGAAACCGCAUGGUUUUGAUUUGAAAGGCGCUUUCGGGUGUCGCUGAUGGAUGGACCCGCGGUGCAUUAGCUAGUUGGUGAGGUAACGGCUCACCAAGGCGACGAUGCAUAGCCGACCUGAGAGGGUGAUCGGCCACAUUGGGACUGAGACACGGCCCAAACUCCUACGGGAGGCAGCAGUAGGGAAUCUUCGGCAAUGGACGAAAGUCUGACCGAGCAACGCCGCGUGAGUGAAGAAGGUUUUCGGAUCGUAAAACUCUGUUGUUAGAGAAGAACAAGGAUGAGAGUAACUGUUCAUCCCUUGACGGUAUCUAACCAGAAAGCCACGGCUAACUACGUGCCAGCAGCCGCGGUAAUACGUAGGUGGCAAGCGUUGUCCGGAUUUAUUGGGCGUAAAGCGAGCGCAGGCGGUUUCUUAAGUCUGAUGUGAAAGCCCCCGGCUCAACCGGGGAGGGUCAUUGGAAACUGGGAGACUUGAGUGCAGAAGAGGAGAGUGGAAUUCCAUGUGUAGCGGUGAAAUGCGUAGAUAUAUGGAGGAACACCAGUGGCGAAGGCGGCUCUCUGGUCUGUAACUGACGCUGAGGCUCGAAAGCGUGGGGAGCAAACAGGAUUAGAUACCCUGGUAGUCCACGCCGUAAACGAUGAGUGCUAAGUGUUGGAGGGUUUCCGCCCUUCAGUGCUGCAGCUAACGCAUUAAGCACUCCGCCUGGGGAGUACGACCGCAAGGUUGAAACUCAAAGGAAUUGACGGGGGCCCGCACAAGCGGUGGAGCAUGUGGUUUAAUUCAAAGCAACGCGAAGAACCUUACCAGGUCUUGACAUCCUUUGACCACUCUAGAGAUAGAGCUUCCCCUUCGGGGGCAAAGUGACAGGUGGUGCAUGGUUGUCGUCAGCUCGUGUCGUGAGAUGUUGGGUUAAGUCCCGCAACGAGCGCAACCCUUAUUGUUAGUUGCCAUCAUUUAGUUGGGCACUCUAGCAAGACUGCCGGUGACAAACCGGAGGAAGGUGGGGAUGACGUCAAAUCAUCAUGCCCCUUAUGACCUGGGCUACACACGUGCUACAAUGGGAAGUACAACGAGUCGCAAAGUCGCGAGGCUAAGCUAAUCUCUUAAAGCUUCUCUCAGUUCGGAUUGUAGGCUGCAACUCGCCUACAUGAAGCCGGAAUCGCUAGUAAUCGCGGAUCAGCACGCCGCGGUGAAUACGUUCCCGGGCCUUGUACACACCGCCCGUCACACCACGAGAGUUUGUAACACCCGAAGUCGGUGAGGUAACCUUUUGGAGCCAGCCGCCUAAGGUGGGAUAGAUGAUUGGGGUG
rnacentral:rRNA from 1 species